CCUACGGGGGGCAGCAGUGAGGAAUAUUGGUCAAUGGCCGGAAGGCUGAACCAGCCAAGCCGCGUGAAGGACGAAGGUGCCAAGCAUUGUAAACUUCUUUUGUCAAGGGACAAAAUCAGACUCGAGAGCCUGACCGAGGGUACUUGAACAAAAAGCAUCGGCUAACUCCGUGCCAGCAGCCGCGGUACGAUGGAGGAUGCGAGCGUUAUCCGGAUUUAUUGGGGUUAACGGGUGCGCAGGCGGAUUUUUAAGUCAGCGGUCAAAUCGAGCGGCUCAACCCCAUACAGCCGUUGAAACUGGGGAUCUAGAGUGUGCGAGAGGAAAGCGGAAUGCGAGGUGUAGGGGUGAAAUGCGUAGAUAUCACGCAGAACCCCGAUUGCGAAGGCGACUAACCGGUGCACAACUGACGCUCAGGCACGAAAGCGUGGGUAGCGAACAGGAUUAGAUACCCUGGUAAUC
rnacentral:rRNA from 1 species